rnacentral:tRNA from 1 species
GGGGGAGUAGCUCAGUUGGCUAGAGUGCCUGACUGGCAGUCAGGAGGUCGAGGGUUCAAGUCCCUUCUUCUCCACCA